rnacentral:sRNA from 1 species
GCCAGGUGCGGUGGUGGCGCACACCUGUAAUCCCAGCAGCUUGGGAGGCUGAGUCAGGAGGAUCAUGAGUUCAAAGCCAUCCUCAGUAAAAGUGAGGUGCUAAGCAACUCAGUGAGACCCUGUCUCUA